UACGUAGGUGGCAAGCGUUACUCGGAAUCACUAGGCGUAAAGCGCAGGUAGGCGGUUGAAUAAGUUUCUUGUGAAAGCUCCCGGCUUAACUGGGAGAGGCCAAGGAAUACUGUUUGACUAGAGUGUGGUAGGGGAAACUGGAAUUCCCGGUGUAGCGGUGAAAUGCGUAGAUAUCGGGAGGAAUACCUAUGGCGAAAGCAAGUUUCUGGGCCAUCACUGACGCUGAGCUGCGAAAGCUAGGGGAGCAAACAGG
rnacentral:rRNA from 1 species